rnacentral:rRNA from 1 species
UUCCGUAGGGUGAACCUGCGGAAGGAU